UACGUAGGGUGCGAGCGUUAUUCGGAAUUACUGGGCGUAAAGCGUGCGCAGGCGGUUCGUUAAGUUCGAUGUGAAAGCCCCGGGCUCAACCUGGGAACUGCAUUGGAAACUGGCGAGCUUGAAUGCGGCAGAGGGGGGUGGAAUUCCGCGUGUAGCAGUGAAAUGCGUAGAGAUGCGGAGGAACACCGAUGGCGGAGGCAGCCCCCUGGGUCAACACUGACGCUCAUGCACGAAAGCGUGGGGAGCAAACAGG
rnacentral:rRNA from 1 species